rnacentral:rRNA from 1 species
UACGUAGGUGGCAAGCGUUGUCCGGAUUUAUUGGGUUUAAAGGGUGCGUAGGCGGUUUUGUAAGUCAGUGGUGAAAUACUCCAGCUUAACUGGAGGGGUGCCAAUGAUACUGCAGAACUUGAGUACAGAUGAGGUAGGCGGAAUUGACGGUGUAGCGGUGAAAUGCAUAGAUAUCGUCAAGAACACCGAUAGCGAAGGCAGCUUACUGGGCUGUAACUGACGCUGAGAAGCGAAAGCAUGGGGAGCGAACAGG